rnacentral:rRNA from 1 species
AGAGUUUGAUCAUGGCUCAGGACGAACGCUGGCGGCAUGCCUAAUACAUGCAAGUCGAACGGACGAGGAGGAGCUUGCUCCUCCAAGUUAGUGGCGGACGGGCGAGUAACGCGUGGGCAACCUGCCUCUCAGUGGGGAACAACAGUUGGAAACGACUGCUAAUACCGCAUAACGCAGCGGAGUCGCAUGGUUCUGCUGCCAAAGGAUUUAUUCGCUGAGAGAUGGGCCCGCGUCCGAUUAGAUAGUUGGUGGGGUAACGGCCUACCAAGUCGACGAUCGGUAGCCGAACUGAGAGGUUGAUCGGCCACAUUGGAACUGAGAAACGGUCCAGACUCCUACGGGAGGCAGCAGUGGGGAAUAUUGGGCAAUGGGCGAAAGCCUGACCCAGCGACGCCGCGUGCGGGAAGAAGGUCUUCGGAUUGUAAACCGCUUUUAUAAGGGACGAAACAAAUGACGGUACCUUAUGAAUAAGCCACGGCUAACUACGUGCCAGCAGCCGCGGUAAUACGGAGGAUGCGAGCGUUAUCCGGAUUUAUUGGGUUUAAAGGGAGCGUAGACGGGAGAUUAAGUCAGUUGUGAAAGGCUGCGGCUCAACCGCAGCACUGCAGUUGAUACUGGUUUCCUUGAGUGCGGUUGAGGUAUGUGGAAUUCGUGGUGUAGCGGUGAAAUGCUUAGAUAUCACGAAGAACUCCGAUUGCGAAGGCAGCAUACUAAGCCGCUACUGACGUUGAGGCUCGAAAGUGUGGGUAUCAAACAGGAUUAGAUACCCUGGUAGUCCACACGGUAAACGAUGAAUACUCGCUGUUGGCGAUACAAUGUCAGCGGCCAAGCGAAAGCAUUAAGUAUUCCACCUGGGGAGUACGCCGGCAACGGUGAAACUCAAAGGAAUUGACGGGGGCCCGCACAAGCGGAGGAACAUGUGGUUUAAUUCGAUGAUACGCGAGGAACCUUACCCGGGCUUAAAUUGCACUGGACAGUCCCAGAGAUGGGAUUUUCUUCGGACCAGUGUGAAGGUGCUGCAUGGUUGUCGUCAGCUCGUGCCGUGAGGUGUCGGCUUAAGUGCCAUAACGAGCGCAACCCUUGCCAUUAGUUACUAACAGGUGAUGCUGAGGACUCUAGUGGGACUGCCAUCGUAAGAUGUGAGGAAGGUGGGGAUGACGUCAAAUCAGCACGGCCCUUACGUCCGGGGCUACACACGUGUUACAAUGGGAGGUACAGAAGGCCGCUACCCGGCGACGGGAUGCCAAUCCCCAAAACCUCUCUCAGUUCGGACUGGAGUCUGCAACCCGACUCCAUGAAGCUGGAUUCGCUAGUAAUCGCGCAUCAGCCACGGCGCGGUGAAUACGUUCCCGGGCCUUGCACACACCGCCCGU